UACGGAGGGUGCAAGCGUUAUCCGGAAUCACUGGGUUUAAAGGGUGCGUAGGCGGCUAGAUAAGUCAGAGGUGAAAGUUUGUCGCUUAACGAUAGAACUGCCUUUGAUACUGUUAAGCUUGAAAGUAGGUGAGGUUGGCGGAAUGUGACAUGUAGCGGUGAAAUGCAUAGAUAUGUCAUAGAACACCGAUUGCGAAGGCAGCCGCCUAACCUGACUUUGACGGUGAGGCGCCAAAGCGUGGGUAGCGAACAGG
rnacentral:rRNA from 1 species